rnacentral:rRNA from 1 species
UUUCCCGGUUGAUCCUGCCGGACCCGACUGCUAUUUGGGUGAGGAUAAGCCAUGCGAGUCGAAUGGGAUACCUAAAUUUCCCAUGGCAAACUGCUCAGUAACACAUGAUCAACUUACCCUAUAGUGAAAAAUAACCCCGGGAAACUGAGGAUAAUAUCUCAUAGUUGAAAAGGCUUGGAAAAGUUUUUCAAUGAAAGGAAAAGAAAAAUGGUUUUUUUCCGCUAUAGGAUAGGAUCGUGCUCGAUUAUGGUUGUUGGUGAGGUAACGGCUCACCAAGCCGAUAAUCGAUAGGGGCCGUGAGAGCGGGUGCCCCGAGAUGGGUACUGAGACAACGACCCAGGCCUUACGAGGCGCAGCAGGCGCGAAACCUCCGCAAUACACGAAAGUGUGACGGGGUUACCCAAAGUGUUCAAUUUUGAACUGUGGUAGGUGAGUAAUGUCCCCUACUAGAAAGGAGAGGGCAAGGCUGGUGCCAGCCGCCGCGGUAAAACCAGCUCUUCAAGUGGUCGGGAUAAUUAUUGGGCUUAAAGUGUCCGUAGCCGGUUUAGCAAGUUCCUGGUAAAAUCGGGUAGCUUAACUAUCUGUAUGCUAGGAAUACUGUUAUACUAGAGGGCGGGAGAGGUCUGAGGUACUACAGGGGUAGGGGUGAAAUCUUAUAAUCCUUGUAGGACCACCAGUGGCGAAGGCGUCAGACUGGAACGUGCCUGACGGUGAGGGACGAAAGCCAGGGGAGCGAACCGGAUUAGAUACCCGGGUAGUCCUGGCCGUAAACGAUGCAUACUAGGUGAUGGCACGGCCAUGAGCCGUGUCAGUGCCGUAGGGAAACCGUUAAGUGUGCCGCCUGGGAAGUACGGUCGCAAGGCUAAAACUUAAAGGAAUUGGCGGGGGAGCACCACAAGGGGUGAAGCCUGCGGUUCAAUUGGAUUCAACGCCGGG